UACGUAGGCAGCAAGCGUUGUUCGGAGUUACUGGGCGUAAAGGGUGUGUAGGCGGUUCUUUAAGUUUGGUGUGAAAUCUCCCGGCUCAACCGGGAGGGUGCGCCGGAUACUGAGGGACUAGAGUACGGGAGAGGAAAGUGGAAUUCCUGGUGUAGCGGUGAAAUGCGUAGAUAUCGGGAGGAACACCUGUGGCGAAAGCGGCUCACUGGACCAUUACUGACGCUGAGGAGCGAAAGCGUGGGGAGCGAACAGG
rnacentral:rRNA from 1 species